rnacentral:rRNA from 1 species
GAUAAGAAGAGAGCGUCUAGGCGAACAAUGUUCUUAAAGUUUGACCUCAAAUCAGGUAGGAGUACCCGCUGAACUUAAGCAUAUCAAUAAGCGGAGGAAAAGAAACCAACCGGGAUUGCCUUAGUAACGGCGAGUGAAGCGGCAAAAGCUCAAAUUUGAAAUCUGGUACCUUCGGUGCCCGAGUUGUAAUUUGGAGAGGGCAACUUUGGGGCCGUUCCUUGUCUAUGUUCCUUGGAACAGGACGUCAUAGAGGGUGAGAAUCCCGUGUGGCGAGGAGUGCGGUUCUUUGUAAAGUGCCUUCGAAGAGUCGAGUUGUUUGGGAAUGCAGCUCUAAGUGGGUGGUAAAUUCCAUCUAAAGCUAAAUAUUGGCGAGAGACCGAUAGCGAACAAGUACAGUGAUGGAAAGAUGAAAAGAACUUUGAAAAGAGAGUGAAAAAGUACGUGAAAUUGUUGAAAGGGAAGGGCAUUUGAUCAGACAUGGUGUUUUGUGCCCUCUGCUCCUUGUGGGUAGGGGAAUCUCGCAUUUCACUGGGCCAGCAUCAGUUUUGGUGGCAGGAUAAAUCCAUAGGAAUGUAGCUUGCCUCGGUAAGUAUUAUAGCCUGUGGGAAUACUGCCAGCUGGGACUGAGGACUGCGACGUAAGUCAAGGAUGCUGCAUA